rnacentral:ncRNA from 1 species
AAUGAAGUUGUGAUUAGAACAAGUAAACGUGAUAAGUUGCAAAGAGAGUGCCGUUGCUGAGAAGGUAUCAAUUUGUCCGUUGAACACACGUCUAUGAACUUGCCAGUUGAAUCAAGUAGGCUGACACGCAGCAAGUGCGUUAUCAUAGUUGCUUUUCUCUGUUCUCGUAAGACGACUAGAGUACAGCAACGUGAGGUUGUUAUCGUGAGGUAACAACAAAUUGAGGUGGAAUCACGAUUAUUUAGUCAAUCGUCCUCGAG